GUGUGAAGCCUAUUCUCCUGACUGGAGGGAUCUGGAUUCUCGAACACUUGGACAUCACUGUAAAGGAGCCAGGCUUGCCUUUGGAAGUCAUACACAUCACUUACGUAAUGGCCUGAAUUUGGGGAGCUCCCAAAAUGGCUGACAACACUGACGAGCCUGUAAUUAUGAAGAUUGUCUCCCAUCUCCUCAUCCUUUGAUUCAUCAGAACCCAAUGCAAAGGAAUGCGGAUCAUCUUCCUCAAAUUCUGAAGACCUGCUCAGGUCCUUCUCUGGGUCUUCCAGAGAACUUCUCAUAUUUGCAAAUGAUGCCGGUAGAUACGAACCCUUGAUUCGACCCCCAUGAUUCUGGUGGAGUUUUGACAGCUCACUGUUAGUACGGCCAUCUGGCUUUCCAUAGUACUUAAAUUCUGGAUUCUCUGGAACCUCUUGAAGACCCAUCUCUGCAAGACCUGGGUCUUGGAUGCUCAUAGGCUCACAGAGCAUAGGAAGGAAGCUGUAUCCGUCACCCAUCAUUGAGUCAGGUGCUGGAGAUAUCUUCUGUCUGAAUACCCUGUUUUCUGUCUUCAAUAGUUCUGGGUCCAGCAUAGAACCACUUUCCAGGCCUCUCUGCUGCUCUUCUUCACUUUCAUCCUCAUACAUUAUCUGGAAGCUUUGUAUUUCGGCAUCCACGCUGGAUCCAACCUGUAGAACCAGGGGGUCACUGGAUUCAGAAAUCACCUUCUUAGACGACAUUGACUGGCUAAAGAUCUCAGGCAUCAGCCCUGGAGAGACAUUUGGGAUAUCAUA
rnacentral:lncRNA from 1 species